rnacentral:rRNA from 1 species
GGAAAGGUGAAAAGGACCCCGGGAGGGGAGUGAAAGAGAACCUGAAACCUUGUGCUUACAAGCACUCAAAGCACGUUAAAGUGUGAUGAGGUACUUUUUGUAGAACGGUCCGGCGAGUUAUUGUAUGUAGCGAGCUUAAGGUGUUCAGCACCGGAGGCGAAGCGAGAGCGAGUCUGAAUAGGGCGACACAGUUGCAUGCAAUAGACCCGAAACCAGGUGACCUAUCCAUGGGCAGGUUGAAGUGGGGGUAAAACCCCAUGGAGGACCGAACCGACCCCCGUUGCAAUGGUGGCGGAUGACCUGUGGAUAGCGGAGAAAUUCUAAUCGAACUUGGAGAUAGCUGGUUCUCCCCGAAAUAGCUUUAGGGCUAGCGUUGAUUUAGAUUACCGGAGGUAAAGCACUGAAUGGGCUAGGGGCUGAUAAAGUUACUGAACCCUAUCAAACUAAGAAUGCCGGCAAAUUGAUGAUCAGCAGUCAGACUACGUGAGAUAAGUCUCGUGGUCAAAAGGGAAACAGCCCAGACCCACAGCUAAGGUCCCAAAUAUACGCUAAGUGGAAAACGAUGUGGAAUUGCGAAAACAACCAGGAUGUUGGCUUAGAAGCAGCCACUCAUUAAAAGAGUGCGUAAUAGCUCACUGGUCGAGUGACUCUGCGCGGAAAAUAUAACGGGGCUAAGCGUAACACCGAAGCUUGGGCUGCACAGCAAUGUGCGGGGUAGGGGAGCGUCGAAUAUGGGGUGAAGUCGCAGCGGAAGCAGCGGUGGACUGUAUUCGAGUGAGAAUGCCGGAAUGAGUAGCGAGAAUUAUGUGGGAAUCAUAAUGGCCGAAAAUCUAAGGUUUCUUGGGGAAGGUUCGUCCGCCCAAGGUAAGCCGGGAGCUAAGGCGAGGCCGAAAGGCGUAGUCGAUGCACAUACGGUUGAAAUUCCGUAGCCACCGAAACUUAAACCAGAAGGACACUUGGAGCUAUCCGAACCCGGGCGUUGGUUGACCCGGGCGUAAGGGACCGAAAUUAAGUAGGGAAGUCGGAGAAUGACGAGGCGAGAAAAGUUCUGGUGUAUGCUAAGGUGCCCGUACCGCAAACCGACACAGGUAGAUGAGGAGAGAAUCCUAAGGCCAACGGGAGAAGGGUUGUUAAGGAACUCGGCAAGUUGACCCCGUAACUUCGGAAUAAGGGGAGCCUCGAAAGAGGCCGCAGUGAAAAGGCCCAAGCAACUGUUUACCAAAAACACAGGUCUAUGCUAAAUCGAAAGAUGACGUAUAUGGGCUGACGCCUGCCCGGUGCUGGAAGGUUAAGAGGAGAGCUUAGCGCAAGCGAAGGUUUGAAUUGAAGCCCCAGUAAACGGCGGCCGUAACUAUAACGGUCCUAAGGUAGCGAAAUUCCUUGUCAGGUAAGUUCUGACCCGCACGAAUGGCGUAACGAUUUGGGCGCUGUCUCAACAGCCCACCCGGCGAAAUUGUAGUACCGGUGAAGAUGCCGGUUACCCGCAACUAGACGGAAA